rnacentral:ncRNA from 1 species
GUUAAGGGGUGCCUGCUGUUGCAGGCUGAGAUUAAACCCUCUGACCUGACCCAGAUAAUGCUGGCGUAGGGAUAACGAUUAUC